CACGUAGGGCGCAAGCGUUGUCCGGAAUUAUUGGGCGUAAAGGGCUCGUAGGCGGUUUGUCGCGUCGGGAGUGUAAACUCAGGGCUUAACCCUGAGCCUGCUUCCGAUACGGGCAGACUAGAGGUAUGCAGGGGAGAAUGGAAUUCCUGGUGUAGCGGUGAAAUGCGCAGAUAUCAGGAGGAACACCGGUGGCGAAGGCGGUUCUCUGGGCAUUACCUGACGUGAGGAGCGAAAGUGUGGGGAGCGAACAGG
rnacentral:rRNA from 1 species